CAUUUUAAUUUUGAAGAUGGAAGAAAAUAAGCAACAUUUUUGGCAUAUUAUGCUUUAUUAUUUCAAGAAAGGUAAAAAUGCAACUGAAAGGCAAAAAAAGAUUUGUGCAGUAUAUAGAGAAGUUGCUAUGACUGAUUGAGUGUGUCAAAAGUGGUUUCCAAAGCUGCAUGCU